AACAUACAGUCCUCAGCAGCUUUAGCAUGGGCAACAAAUUAAGUCUCUGUAAAAGGCCCAAAGGACAGGGUUUGGUGAGAUUCUGGAGAGCUGGAAACAUGGAGGUUGACAGGAAUGUAAAGAAGAACUCAUUUACAUGCCAGGAGGGUGGAACACCCCAAUUCCAUGAGGAUAACUGCUCCUGUACUCCAGACCUCACCCCAUGUGUCUCUUCAUCUGGCUGGUUAUUUGUCCUUUAAGAUCUCCUUACUCAACCAGUAAAUGUGUCUUUACAUUGUUUUAGUCUUGAACUAGAAGAUGAAAGCAUCAAAUAAAGAAAUAUACUGUGGGUAUAUGGAUUACAAAAAAAGAGAUCUGUGGAAGUUUGAAGUUGAGAAUGAUGACCUAGAGUAUCUGGUGGAAGAAAUUUCUAAGCAGCAAAGUGUUCAAGAUGUGGCCUGGAUGCUUCUAACAACCUAUGCUCAGAUGUAGGCACAAAGGAAUGACUUACAUUUGGAACUUACAUUUAAACAGGAAGCAGAGCCUAAAAGUUCAGAAAAU
rnacentral:lncRNA from 1 species